rnacentral:misc_RNA from 1 species
UGCUUCGAACAUGGACAUGUGGGCGACAUCGGCCAAUGAAUUGGGUGUUGCGGGCCAUUGCAAUGCUACUGAGGCCAAACGGCUCGCUGAUCCUCGUUCGAAGCAUUUCGAGUUACACAAGCCCUGGCUAGUGACACGUUGUGCCAAGAUCGACUGGUGUUGCGGCCGAGGCAAGCUUACGAGCGACUUGUGGAUCCUUGUCUGAAGUGCGAUUGGUUGCCCAAGCCCAGCUAGCGACCAAACGUCAGUAGGAUACGGUGAAGCAGGUGUGCAUCGAGGCAUGUUGGAUUCAAUAGUUUCUUUGUUACUUUCGCAUCGUUCGGUGCAUUCUGGGGGCUGUUUUGGCUUUUGGUUGCUUGCUUGGCUUUUUGCUGGGUGGGUCGCUACUAGUUGGGCGGCUGGUGUUUGGUUUGUUACGGGUGGUUGGCUGUCUGCUUGCGCAGCAACGUCCACGCGUGCAUACCUCUUCAGUUUUGCGGCAAGGCUUUGUUUGUCUUGAGCAUAUUGUGGGUUUCCUGUGUUGCAUACCUGAUCGAUGGUAACGUGUGGGUUUUACGAUGUCCCUUUUCGUCAUGCGUUGCUCAUGCGGCGUGGGAUGAACAUUGAAGCGGUCUUUGUGAUCUACAUUUUUGUUGCAUMUGCGACGAUGAUGUGGCCUAUGAAGCAUCGUUUGGUCUCUUGUAUAYGGAACCUGAUGUGGGCAUGGAUCUUAUUAGAUCCUGACUCUGCCCUAGUUAAGCGUUCUCGCUUCUCCAAAACGAUUGUCUGCCAUGUCUUGGCUUGCCUUGGCAUGGUGGGCUACGUCGA